rnacentral:misc_RNA from 1 species
AGCAGCCGCGGUAAUUCCAGCUCCAAUAGCGUAUAUUAAAGUUGUUGCAGUUAAAAAGCUCGUAGUUGAAUUUCGGGAUCAAAGGAUCGGUCAUGCCUUGGUAUGUACUGGUUUUAUUGGUUCUCACCUUCUAAAGAACCAUAAUGUCAUUCAUUUGAUGUUAUGGGGAAUUAGGACUGUUACCUUGAAAAAAUUAGAGUGUUUAAAGCAGGCUUACGCUUGAAUACAUUAGCAUGGAAUAAUGAAAUAGGACAUCAGAUUCUAUUUUGUUGGUUUCUAGGAUCGAUGUAAUGAUUAAUAGGGAUAGUUGGGGGCAUUAGUAUUCAAUUGUCAGAGGUGAAAUUCUUGGAUUUAUUGAAGACUAACUACUGCGAAAGCAUUUGCCAAGGAUGUUUUCAUUAAUCAAGAACGAAAGUUAGGGGAUCGAAGACGAUCAGAUACCGUCGUAGUCUUAACCAUAAACUAUGCCGACUAGGGAUCGGAUGAUGUUAAUUUAUAAUGACUC